UAGGGAAUCUUCGGCAAUGGACGGAAGUCUGACCGAGCAACGCCGCGUGAGUGAAGAAGGUUUUCGGAUCGUAAAGCUCUGUUGUUAGAGAAGAACGUUGGUAGGAGUGGAAAAUCUACCAAGUGACGGUAACUAACCAGAAAGGGACGGCUAACUACGUGCCAGCAGCCGCGGUAAUACGUAGGUCCCGAGCGUUGUCCGGAUUUAUUGGGCGUAAAGCGAGCGCAGGCGGUUCUUUAAGUCUGAAGUUAAAGGCAGUGGCUUAACCAGUGUACGCUUUGGAAACUGGAGGACUUGAGUGCAGAAGGGGAGGGUAGAAUUCCAUGUGUAGCGGUGAAAUGCGUAGAUAUAUGGAGGAACACCGGUGGCGAAAGCGGCUCUCUGGUCUGUAACUGACGCUGAGGCUCGAAAGCGUGGGGAGCAAACAGG
rnacentral:rRNA from 1 species